GGUUGCAAUAUGUUUGAACGGUCUCCGCGCUCGCUCGUCCAUUCGUGAACAAAGGAGGCCGUGAUUUUGCGUCGUAUGGGCGGCUGCAGUCUUGCGUCCCGUCAGGCCAUGAAAGAACGGAGGAGGAUAUGAAUUUGCGUCGUCAUGGCGGCUGGCCAUGAAAGAAACAAGGAUUUGUUUUGCGUCGUAAUGGGUUUUUGUUGUUUGUUCGAAGCAGCGGCUGCAGUAUUGCGUCCCGUCAGACCAUGAGAGAGCAAAUGAGGAUAUGAAUUUGCGUCGUAAUGGGUAAGCUGUGUGAUCGAAGUGUGUGAUUAAGCUUCACAUGUAUUCACACCAUGACUGUUGUGCGUUUUGUUGUUUGUUUCGAGCAGCGGCUGCAGUCUUGUGUCCCGUCAGGCAAGUGUACACUUCGUGGCUGGUGUUGAUUCUGCUAAUUUCAUUUUCCUUCAUGCAGGCUCUACUUUAUUGAACACUAAGCUGGGUGAACCAACUUUGUUGUUGAUAUGACCGUAUUGCUCCGUUUUACUCACUUGUGUUUGAACGUUACUAAUUUGCGAUUGCACGCCCUAUUUCAGACACAUAUCUCUCCAGCGCUUCAGAGACGUCACUGGCGCCGAAAUUCCAGCUGUUUCACCGUGGGUCGCCAGAAGAACAGCAGAUCAUUGACUGUCAAUUGUGCGUCGCGACACUGUGGCACGAAGGAUAAGUACGUGUGAAAUACGUAACUACUGUGUGCACGGGAUGUUUUGUAUGAUUGUGUCGACACUCGAUACCACUUUCAAGGUAUGCAUUUUCGGAAUAAAGUAGAUACAUGUUUAAUUUUGCA